CAGAUUGAACGCUGGCGGCAGGCCUAACACAUGCAAGUCGGACGAGAAGGUUCCUUCGGGAACUGGAGAGUGGCGCACGGGUGAGUAACGCGUGGGGACCUACCUCUUAGUGGGGGAUAACGGUUGGAAACGACCGCUAAUACCGCAUACGCCCUUCGGGGGAAAGAUUUAUCGGAGAAGGAUCGGCCCGCGUUGGAUUAGGUAGUUGGUG
rnacentral:rRNA from 12 species